rnacentral:rRNA from 1 species
UACAGAGGCCUCGAGCGUUAGGCGGAAUCACUGGGCUUAAAGCGUGUGUAGGCGGACUUCUAAGUACCUUGUGAGAUCCCACGGCUCACCCGUGGAACUGCUCGGUAUACUGGUCGUCUUGAGCCUUCUAGGGGCGAGUGGAACAAAUGGUGGAGCGGUGAAAUGCGUAGAUAUCAGGAGGAACACCGGUGGCGAAGGCGGGUCUCUGGGCCGAUACUGACGCUGAGGAGCGAAAGCGUGGGGAGCGAACAGG